AUCCAGAUGACGAGUCCAAAACAGGACGAAAUGAGCAUCCUGGAU
rnacentral:hammerhead_ribozyme from 1 species